rnacentral:rRNA from 1 species
GCGUAUGGAUUAAGAGCUUGCUCUUAUGAAGUUAGCGGCGGACGGGUGAGUAACACGUGGGUAACCUGCCCAUAAGACUGGGAUAACUCCGGGAAACCGGGGCUAAUACCGGAUAACAUUUUGAACCGCAUGGUUCGAAAUUGAAAGGCGGCUUCGGCUGUCACUUAUGGAUGGACCCGCGUCGCAUUAGCUAGUUGGUGAGGUAACGGCUCACCAAGGCAACGAUGCGUAGCCGACCUGAGAGGGUGAUCGGCCACACUGGGACUGAGACACGGCCCAGACUCCUACGGGAGGCAGCAGUAGGGAAUCUUCCGCAAUGGACGAAAGUCUGACGGAGCAACGCCGCGUGAGUGAUGAAGGCUUUCGGGUCGUAAAACUCUGUUGUUAGGGAAGAACAAGUGCUAGUUGAAUAAGCUGGCACCUUGACGGUACCUAACCAGAAAGCCACGGCUAACUACGUGCCAGCAGCCGCGGUAAUACGUAUGUGGCAAGCGUUAUCCGGAAUUAUUGGGCGUAAAGCGCGCGCAGGUGGUUUCUUAGUCUGAUGUGAAAGCCCACGG